GGAGGCUCGAUCCUCCCACCAUGUUGCUGCCCUAGACGCGCGUGCACGUUCCUGCCUUCCAACGGGAAGGCAGGAGCACCCUCCCAGAGGCCACAAGUUCCCCAGUGGCAACUCAGGCUUCCAUCCCUGACAGGCCAAGGCAAUUGCCUAAGCAGCUUUUUAUGCUUCAUUUUUUCCAGCUAGAAAAACAAGGACACUUCACUUCCUCACAGGGGUGAUCUGAGGACAUAUCAGCCAAUUUCUGAAAACCACCUAAAGAGUUUGACCAGAAGAGCUGGCAUCUGGAGACGGCAACGAAGUUUCAAAACUGUGGAAGGGAAGACGCAGGUAUUCUCGUCAUUUGAGCCUGGUUGAUAGUAAGGACUCCUGAAUCAGAAAACCCUGAUUUUGAACCCAACUGUAAUACUUAUGGCCAUGGCCAUUGGUAAGUUGAGUAAGGCUCCGGUUUGCCCAUUUCUUUCAUUUUCUUUCCUUUUUUUUUUUUUUGCUUUUUAGGGCCGAACCUAAAAACGCAUAUGGAGGUUCCCAGGCUAGGGGUCAAAUCGGAGCUAUAGGUGCCAGCCUACACCACAGCCACAGGAAUACGGGAUCCAAGCUGCAUCAGCUUAGGGCAGCGCCAGAUCCCUAAUGCACUUAGCGAGGCCAGGGAUCAAACCCACAUCCUCGUGGAUUCCAGUGGGAUUCAGUUCAGCUGCACCAUGAAGGUAACUCCCCAGGUUGCCCAUUUCUAAAAUGAGGUCUAAUAAUCCCUAAUUUACAGCUUUGCCCUGGGGAUUAAGUGUAAAACAUGCAUAGAAUCUGUGUGGCUCCGUGCCUGCCACCCAGUAGGGACUUGCUCAUCCAGCAUCUAUUAUUUAUUACAAACGCAAAUUGGGGGGGGGGGGUAAGCGCACUGUGCAGUUUGCCCUGCUCCCUCUGGGAGUGACCCUGGGUGCACACUUGCCUAUAAAUUACUCCAGGAGGUUUGACAAACGGCUGCAGGAUCACCCUCGAGGCACUGCACCUUUCCUUGAGUAUCAGUGACCCCAAUUUCAGCUGGGGGGGGAUAAAUCUUCUUCCAUUUUAAUAAAAUUUCUCAGGAGUUAAUGGCAAGUAGGAAUGUCACUGGAGGAAGCCUCUGGAAACUGCAGAGCUGAGCGUGGGGAGUGUCCCAGGGGGCCAACCUCUGAGAAGAUGCCCGUGUACUGUGAUGGGGAACAUUUUGAACCUGAAACAGGAGGAAUGUGGUGGGGAAGGUGGGGCGAAUUCAAUCUCCUCAGCCUCCCCCACACAAAUCAAUCACAAAGGAAAUGGGCAUUUGAGGAAAAAGUUCCUUUAAAAUGUAUUGCUAUUUGUAUUUCUAUUACCUCAUCUCAUAAAUCUCGUUUCCCGCGUCCUAUGAUUCCUUGAGCAGAACAGCCCGGAUCUUUUACAGUCUCUUAAUGGGCUCAUUUUUUUUUUGACUCUUUGAGACAGACAAAGGAGUCUUGGAAUCCACCAGAUGGGAACGGGAGCAGGUUAGAGGACCAACUAGAGGGUCACUUCAGACGCAGAAAAGCUGAUGGGAAGCUGACCUUCCAGACAUCUUCAAGUUACUGAAAUUUUUGACUUCCCUUCUGAAGAAGAUUUCAAGGCAAUAAAAACAUAAUCAGAAGGUCUAUGUUAUAACUUACUUAAGACUGCUUUGUUUCAUGUUCAGCAUCCAUAUGUCCUGAAGUUUAUUCAACGGGUACUGUUCCCCCUAUUUUACUGUUCAAUUGUAUUUCAUUCCACUGUUUGGAUAGCAUCGAUGUGUCCACAAACUUCCCAUAUUUUAGCUACCAAAGGAUAUAAUCCAGUUUGCCUCACAUCCCCCACAUUAUAAAAAAUGCGAUAAUUUUUGGUUGAGGAAAUAAAACCAUUGCAAUAUACACCCUUUCUUUUGCAAAUGAGGAAAGUUGGAUCUUACUACAGGUUGGUGUCAGCACCAUGAGGCUGAAAUCCAGUUUUUCUGACCCUUGAUACAUCACUCCCUUCUCCUACACUAGGCAGCCAUCAUAUUCACUGCAAGCUCUUAAAAGCCUUUGUUCAAAAAAGUUGAAGAAGCACUUUAAUCCCGACAAUAUAUCCCAGAACCCCCAGCCCUGUCUCGUUACAGAGAAGAAAAAUCAAGUUGAAUGCUAUGUACAUAAUGUCAUGGAGGCAUUCUCUUUAUUUUAUCGAUCUAAAUUUUUAUUUUUAAUUUUUUUAUUUUACGUGUAUAUGUGUCAUCAGCACAUCCUCUUCCUUCAAACAUGCAGAAUCAGGUCUGAUUGUUUUUGCAUCCACAGGAGGCUUAUUGCGUCAAGUCUUGGCAUCUCUACUUGAUUUAAAACAAAGCACUUUGUGGAGAUAAUAAGAUACUCAAAACUCUUCUUGUCCAGGUCCAGCACCUGCCAUGUUCCAGGAACUAUACUAGCUAUUAGGUAUUAGAAGUUAAUAAAAAGUUGAAGGCCCUACCCUCUUAGAAUUUAGAGUUGGACUUAAGCAUCCUGAGCACGAGCGUCUAAGAAGGGCUCUUAGGCUGUCCAGGUCUCGAAAACCCAAGGUCUGGCACAGUUUAAUUAAAUGACCAUCCUUCCCAAUUAGCCGUGAAAAACACUGCUUGUAUAACUAUGUCAUUAUCACUUCCUGCCUGGAUUAGUGUAAUCCGUGAUAUGCAGGCCUUCUGUGCUCCAGCAUUUCCUCUGGGGAUUUGCAACUUUUGCAAAACCCGAGCUUUAGAAUGCAGGCUGGAGCCAAAAGUUCAUUACUCACUUCACUCCUAUGCCAAGCAAGCUUCAUGGGCUUCCUUGACAGUGCAGCACGCACAGUACAUGUUCUGUAGUUCAAAGGAUGAGCAGAAAGCUCUUCCCCAGACCUGGGGCUGUCUUGGCAGUUUAAGUACACACUUCUCUCACCCCAAGCAAAAGGUGGCAAGUGCCAGCCCCAGACAACAUAUGUGUUCAUCUCCUGUUGCCUGUCAAGAAAAAGCUAGAUGCUAUAGAAAUGAUUCCGACCUCAGCGGGACUGGCUGGGCCCUUUCUUGCAACUCCACAGUUUUGUUUUUUAGAACAGCUACUCCCUGGGGGACUUCCUCAGGUAGGACAACGGUCUUUAGGACCACGAUGUUCAUUUUUUUCUAUCAGAAACUCACUUUUCUUUUUUCAGAAAUGAAGUAAUACUAGAGAUCAAGCAGAAAUAUUUCAGACAAGGAAGCGGAAGCUGAGAGAAGCAGAGAGCAUGCUUUAGCCAAGGUCACAGCUAGGACUAGACUCUGCGUCUCCUAAUUGAUCUAAAGAACUACUGUGUCUUCUCUGAUAAAUAGUUCUGAUUCCAGUGACCUGUGCCAUAUGGCCACCUUCUCCCUCUGUAUUUAUAGGAAGGACCAUUUCUAUGUGUAGGCUGUUGAACUCCUCUGUGCCGUAAUGGAAAGGUCCUGAAAGCUAGACACCAUUUCUCAUUGAUAAUAUUGCUCAGGUAUUACCUCAAAAUAGAUUGUCAGCACCAGAGCAGGAGAAAAGCCCAUGAAAGGCUAUUCCAGCUUUUGAAAACACCACCAGCAUUUUCACAAAGCCAAACUGCAUGAGACAGAUCAAAGAGCAUUACACUGCCUUCUGGUUAUGGGUCACUCUAUCUCUGUGAAUCUAGUCACAAAAGCACAGAAAUUCAGAGCUGGGAGGGACUUCACAGAUCAUCUUGUCAACUCCUUCAGUUUAAAGGUGAAGAAAAGGAGACCCAGAGAACACGGGAGACUCGCCCCAGGCCAUAGAACUAGUUAUAAGGAAACUGGCCUGUCCUUUCCCCUCUGUCACGCUGUCCCAUAACAAAAGGCUUACGCCACCUGAUAGAUCCAGUGGUUGGGCCAACAAGACUCUUGCUAUUCAGCUCUUGAUGUGAAUUUCCUAAGAACAUAAGAUGCUUUUGAUUUUUUUUAAAGAGUGAUACAGAUUGUGACAAAGCCCCAAAGGGACCUCGUCCAAAGCAAGAGAAUUGCACAAGCCAAUGUGCAACAAAUUCCUGGGCAUGAUACAGAAAAAAAGAAGAAAGAGGAAGAAGAGAAAGAAGAAGAGGAGGGGGGAAGGGGAAGAAGAAGAAAAAGAACAAGAAGAAGAAGGGGAAGAGGAGGAAGAAGAAGGACAAGGAGAAGAAGAAGAGGAAGAGAAAGAGGAAGAAGCAGCAUCAUCAGCAGCAGCUGCCACCUAUCUCCCAACAUAGAAAAAGAAGAAAACCACCCCAUCAUGGUCUCAAAAGAAGUCUAAUCUUUGAAGUAUGAUGCUUUAAGACAGCUAGCGUGGCACUUUCAUAACUAAAGUGAGUACCAAAAAUGUCAAAUUCUAGUUUAAAAACAGUAAGACUCCCCACAGAACUGAUUAGGGGGAAAACCUACCCACCCUUUCUACUUUCCUCUUCACUUAACUUGGGUAAUAUAUUUCCCUAAAUGUCUAGCACCCAAAACCUCCAAGGGCAAGAACUUUGUUAAAAUAACCUUUCUUACUUUAAAAAUCAUACAUACUUUUUUAUAGAAAAUGUGUAAAAAUACAGAAAGUUAUCAAGAAGAGAACCAAAUCGAUCUAUACAUUUACUAUCUGUACAAAAAAUACUGUACUUUUUAAAAUUAAAAUUAAAGAUAUUUACCAGUAUUUUAGUUAGGCAUGCAUAUACCUAGAUAUUUUUCAAAUAAAUUGGCCUCACAUCAUUAUAUAUUGUCAUGUAGCCUGUUUCUGCUUGUUUUCACAUUACAACUUAGCAGGAUUUUUUUUUUCCCCCUAAGGAGUUAUCAAACUUUAGUGAACAUCAGAAUCACCUGGAAGGCUUGUUAAGACAGAGGGCUGAGUCCCAAUUCCGGUUUCUAAUGUAAUACCUGUAGGCUAGAGAUCCAUAAUUUGUAUUUCUAACAAGUUUCCAGGAGAUAUUGCUGUUGCUGGUCUGGGAAACACACUGGGAGAACCAUGGUCCUAUUAUAACAGAACUUCAAAAUCAUGGCUGUAGGAGUUCCUGUUGUGGUUCCUUGGUAACCAACCUGACUAGUAUCCACCAGGCUUCGAGUUCCAUCCCUGGCCUUGCUCAGUGGUUUCAGGAUCUGGCGUUGCUGUGAGCUGUGGCGUAGACCAGCAGCUACAGCUCCAGUUCAAUCCCUAGUCUGGGAACUUCCAUGUGCCAUGGGUACAGCCCAAAAAACCAAACAAACAAACAAACAAAAAAAAUCCUGUCUACAGACAUACUAGAGCCAAUACUACUUUAGUAGUUUAUUAAGUGGGUAUGGUAGAUGAUAGGCAUUUUGACUUU